AACCCAUGCUGAAGACAUUUCCGCAGGAGCUCCUUGAACUUAUCCUAUGUCUCAAAAAGAGACUCAAAUUCCGUUUGCACAAAGGAAGAAAUUUUAUUCCUGAGGUU